GUACAUGAUGGGAAUGGGGUUCUCCCGAAACUGCCAGCAAUUGGCUGAUGACUCCUGCUUGAAU
ncrna:Ochrobactrum anthropi ATCC 49188 Fluoride riboswitch